GACGAACCGUGCGAACGUUAUUCGGAAUCACUGGGCUUAAAGCGCGUGUAGGCGGAUGAGCACGUCUGUCGCUGAAAUCCCCCGGCUCAACCGGGGAACGGGCGCGGAUACGGCUCGUCUCGAGGGGCGUAGGGGGACCUGGAACUUCCGGUGGAGCGGUGAAAUGCGUUGAGAUCGGAAGGAACGCCCGUGGCGAAAGCGAGGUCCUGGACGCCUACUGACGCUGAGACGCGAAAGCCAGGGAGCGAACGGG
rnacentral:rRNA from 1 species